rnacentral:snRNA from 1 species
UUGCUUGCUUAGGCAGCACAUAUGCUAAAAUUGGAAUGAUACCUGGAAGAUUAACAUGGCCCCUGCCCAAGGAUGACAUGCAAAUUCUUGAGGCAUUUCAAAAAAAA